rnacentral:rRNA from 1 species
UACGUAGGGGGCAAGCGUUGUCCGGAUUUAUUGGGCGUAAAGAGCGUGUAGGCGGCCAGGUAGGUCCGUUGUGAAAACUCGAGGCUCAACCUCGAGACGCCGAUGGAAACCAUCUGGCUAGAGUCCGGAAGGAGGAGAGUGGAAUUCCCGGUGUAGCGGUGAAAUGCGCAGAUAUCGGGAAGAACACCCGUGGCUAAGGCGGCUCUCUAGUACGGUACUGACGCUGAGACGCGGAAAGCGUGGGGAGCGAACAGG